rnacentral:rRNA from 1 species
AACGAACGCUGGCGGCAUGCCUAACACAUGCAAGUCGAACGAGACCUUCGGGUCUAGGGGCGCACGGGGGCGUAAGGAGGGGGAACCAGCCCUUAGGUUCGGAAUAACUCCCCGAAGGGGGUGCUAAUACAGGUUAAGGUCAUAGGAGCAAGGAUUUAUCGCCUUAGGGUGGGCCCGGGUUGGAUUCGCUGGUUGGUAGGGUAAAAGCCUACCAAGGGGACGAUGCCUAGCUGGUCUGAGAGGAUGAUCAGCCACACUUGGACUGCGACACGGCCCAGACUCCUACGCGAGGCAGCAGUGGGGAAUAUUGUACAAUGGGCCAAAGCCUGAUCCAGCAGUGCCGCGUGAGUGAUGAAUGCCUUAGGGUUGUACAGCUCUUUUUCCCGAGAUGAUAAUGACAGUACCGGGAGAAUAAGCUCCGGCUAACUCCGUG